rnacentral:sRNA from 1 species
AUUUAGCCGCGAUGGGAGCAAGUAUCCUUUUUAUAAACGCUUAUAACCCUUUCAGAGUUUUGAACUCUGAAAGGGUUGCGUUUAAAAAAGAUACUGCGGACAGCGGGACAACUU